UAGGGAAUUUUCCACAAUGCCCGAAAGGGUGAUGGAGCGACGCCGCGUGGGUGAUGAAGGUCUUCGGAUUGUAAAACCCUGUUUUAAAGGACGAAAAGGACGGUACUUUAAGAGUAAGCUUCGGCCAACUCUGUGCCAGCAGCCGCGGUAAGACAGAGGAAGCAAGCAUUAUCCGGAAUUACUGGGUGUAAAACGUGUGUAGGUGGCUAAAUAAGUCAAAUGUGUAAGUCAGAAGCUUAACUUCUGAAUUGCAUUCGAUACUGUUCAGCUUGAGUUCUGGGGAAGAAAAUGGAAUUCCCGGUGGAGCGGUGAAAUGCGUUGAUAUCGGGAGGAACACCAAUGGCGCAGGCAAUUUUCUAUCCAGAAACUGACAUUGAGGCACGAAAGCUAGGGGAGCAAACAGG
rnacentral:rRNA from 1 species